rnacentral:rRNA from 1 species
UACGUAGGAUGCAAGCGUUGUCCGGAAUUAUUGGGCGUAAAGAGUUCGUAGGCGGUUGCCUAAGUCUGGUGUUAAAUACAGGAGCUCAACUCCUGCAUGGCACUGGAAACUGGGCAGCUAGAGUGUGGUAGAGGUCACGGGAAUUCCAGGUGUAGCGGUGGAAUGCGUAGAUAUCUGGAGGAACACCAGUGGCGAAAGCGCGUGACUGGGCCACAACUGACGCUGAGGAACGAAAGCGUGGGGAGCGAACAGG